GAAGUCGCGAUGGAAAUGAAAAUCGUCCUGGGGCUGUAGACGCACGAGUUGAAUGAAUGGAGCAACAGCUUUAUAUCUGCCUGGGCCAUAAAUUCGAGCAUAAAGUAUUGCACGUUUUGCCUUUGUGUACUUAUGCGGAGGGGAAGGAUGGGGACGCAAGCCAUCAUCGCCUUAACUCAUAAACCAAUCAUGCACUUCAUCUCACAGACAACAGCAACGCAACAGCCAUGCGAUGCCUAAUUAGGCCCGCUUAAGACAAGAUUCGACCAGAACAGAGGCCCAGACUCAGGACCAGACCCAGAGCCAAGCAGGCAACGGCCUUAAUUAUGCGUAAGCCGUAAAGAGCCCAUUAAUGUCAUUUUCGUUGCAUUUUCCGGGCAGUCGGAGGGCGUGUGGGCCGCAUGUUUGAUUAACAGACACUUCUGGCGUGUUUCCGACGUAUGCUCAUAAGUCCAUAAUUCUGAUAGAUUCACUCCGAUGUGGUCUCAAGGAGAAAAUUAUCUUGUAUUUGCGAUUCUCUUUGGCAUUUUAAUCAUAUUUAGCCUUUGUGAAUUAUUUGGAGUAAACUUAAAAUCUUAGUAUAAAUAAAUGUGUGUCACAUAAUUCUUAAAUAUUUUAUCGCCUUUUGAAGCUAUUAUUAAUCAAAAAAUGGCGCUUUUCGGACGACACCUAUCGCGCACUAUUAGUACCAACAUCUCCGCCAAUCGCUUUACGCGUUGCUUCUUCAUGAAGGGCUGGACACUCGGAUUUUUGUUUUUCAUAUUUAUUGGCGCGCUUUUAAAUUCUAUGUAAUGUACGAACAAAAAGGUUUACAAGUCACCUCUCUGAGAUAUUUCUAUCCUGUUUUUCCUCUCACAGCUCUAACGGUAUGAGUUAAAAAAUUAUAUAAAAUAUAUAUACAUUACCGACAUUGCCUUCCCUCCUGCACCAUGCAUUACCUCGUCGUCUUUGACCGGGUAAG